rnacentral:rRNA from 1 species
AUUGAACGCUGGCGGCAUGCUUUACACAUGCAAGUCGAACGGCAGCGCGGGCUUCGGCCUGGCGGCGAGUGGCGAACGGGUGAGUAAUACAUCGGAACGUGCCCAGUAGUGGGGGAUAGCUCGGCGAAAGCCGGAUUAAUACCGCAUACGACCUGAGGGUGAAAGCGGGGGAUCUUCGGACCUCGCGCUAUUGGAGCGGCCGAUGGCAGAUUAGCUAGUUGGUGGGGUAAAGGCCUACCAAGGCGACGAUCUGUAGCUGGUCUGAGAGGACGACCAGCCACACUGGGACUGAGACACGGCCCAGACUCCUACGGGAGGCAGCAGUGGGGAAUUUUUGACAAUGGGCGAAAGCCUGAUCCAGCAAUGCCGCGUGUGUGAUGAAGGCCUUCGGGUUGUAAAGCACUUUUGGCGGGAACGAAAAGGACUGUGCCAAUACCACGGUUCGAUGACGGUACCCGCAGAAUAAGCACCGGCUAACUACGUG